GACGAACGCUGGCGGCGUGCCUAAUACAUGCAAGUCGAACGCAGUGGGGACGGGUGAGUAACACGUGGGUAACCUCCCAUCAGAGGGGAUAACACUUGGAAACAGGUGCUAAACCGAUACUGAUGGAUGAACCCGCGGUGCAUUAGCUAGUUGGUGAGGUAACGGCUCACCAAGGCAACGAUGCAUAGCCGGCCUGAGAGGGUGAUCAGCCACACUGGGACUGAGACACGGCCCAGACUCCUACGGGAGGCAGCAGUGGGGAAUCUUCGGCAAUGGGCGAAAGUCUGACCGAGCCACGCCGCGUGGAUGAAGAAGGUUUUCGGGUCGUAAAGCUCUGUUAUUAGAGAAGCGGUAUCUAACCAGAAAGCCACGGCUAACUACGUGCCAGCCGCCGCGGUAAUAC
rnacentral:rRNA from 1 species